GUGGGGAAUAUUGGACAAUGGGCGAAAGCCUGAUCCAGCCAUGCCGCGUGUGUGAAGAAGGUCUUCGGAUUGUAAAGCACUUUAAGUUGGGAGGAAGGGCAGUAAGUUAAUACCUUGCUGUUUUGACGUUACCGACAGAAUAAGCACCGGCUAACUCUGUGCCAGCAGCCGCGGUAAUACAGAGGGUGCAAGCGUUAAUCGGAAUUACUGGGCGUAAAGCGCGCGUAGGUGGUUCGUUAAGUUGGAUGUGAAAGCCCCGGGCUCAACCAUGGAACUGCAUCCAAAGCUGGCGAGCUAGAGUACGGUAGAGGGUGGUGGAAUUUCCUGUGUAGCGGUGAAAUGCGUAGAUAUAGGAAGGAACACCAGUGGCGAAGGCGACUACCUGGACUGAUACUGACACUGAGGUGCGAAAGCGUGGGGAGCAAACAGGAUUAGAAACCCUAGUAGUCC
rnacentral:rRNA from 1 species